rnacentral:rRNA from 1 species
AAUUUUGGACAAUGGGGGCAACCCUGAUCCAGCCAUGCCGCGUGAGUGAAGAAGGCCUUCGGGUCGUAAAACUCUGUCAUUGGGGAAGAAAAAAAUGACGGUACCCAAUGAGGAAGCCCCGGCUAACUACGUGCCAGCAGCCGCGGUAAUACGUAGGGUGCAAGCGUUAAUCGGAAUUACUGGGCGUAAAGCGUGCGCAGGCGGUUCGGCAAGAAGGAUGUGAAAUCCCAGGGCUUAACCUUGGAACUGCAUUCUUAACUGCCGGGCUAGAGUAUGUCAGAGGGGGGUAGAAUUCCGCGUGUAGCAGUGAAAUGCGUAGAGAUGCGGAGGAAUACCGAUGGCGAAGGCAGCCCCCUGGGAUAAUACUGACGCUCAUGCACGAAAGCGUGGGGAGCAAACA